rnacentral:rRNA from 1 species
GACGAACGCUGGCGGCGUGCUUAACACAUGCAAGUCGAACGGAAAGGCCCUGCUUUUGUGGGGUUCUCGAGUGGCGAACGGGUGAGUAACCCGUGAGUAACCUGCCCUUGACUUUGGGAUAACUUCAGGAAACUGGGGCUAAUACCGGAUAGGAGCUCCUGCUGCAUGGUGGGGGUCGGACCGUUUCGGCGGUUGGGGAUGGACUCGCGGCUUAUCAGCUUGUUGGUGGAGUAGUGGCUUACCAAGGCUUUGACGGGUAGCCGGCCUGAGAGGGUGACCGGCCACAUUGGGACUGAGAUACGGCCCAGACGCCUACGGGAGGCAGCAGUGGGGAAUAUUGCACAAUGGGCGGAAGCCUGAUGCAGCAACGCCGCGUGCGGGAUGACGGCCUUCUGGUUGUAAACCGCUGUCGCCUGUGACGAAGCGUGAGUGACGGUAAUGGGUAAAGAAGCACCGGCUAACUACGUG